CUGUAGCUGCUGUGCUUCCGGCUGUGGGUGAUCAGGUUGGAGCUCUGACUGAACGCCUUCCCACACACCACACACACGUGAGGCUUCUCACCUGUCAGUGACGGAGAGAAAAGGAAUGAGGCCCUCAGAGACACGGAGAAGUAGCCCAUAAUGUCAAUCGUGAGGUCACAUGAUCUCCAUACUGCGCCUGUGUAUGAAGGUGUGUUUCUUCAUGUCAGAUUUCUGGUGGAAUCUCUUGCCGCAGUAUUGACAGGGGUAAGGCCGAGUGUCUGAGUGGAUCAGCAGCCCUGCCGUAGAAGCCGGUGGGGGGUCGGAGGCUGUGAUGCUGAGUGCCGAAUCCCGACCCAGUCAGUGGAAUGGUGACUCUGUUGAUGUGAGACCUGCGCAGAUUCAUUUUAUUGCAACUGGAGGCUCCAGCCUGGAGACUGCUGAGGAUGGUACCGCUUGAAGUACCAUGAAAAUGGUUUUGGACUCCAAUUCCACGUGGACGUUCUCGCUGUGGUUGCUGGGACUACGGUUGCAGCGAUGGUCUUGGGACUGCAAUUACCACAUGCAGUUUUGCACUCAGGUCUCCUUUAGUGAACAGUGGACUAGUUCAACAAACAGACUUCAUAUUAAACCAUAAUGAACUUUCUUUUACUUUCACACUAUCCGUCGUUCCCCAGAUGAGGACGGGUUCCCUUCUGAGUCUGGUUCCUCUCAAGGUUUCUUCCUCAGAUCAUCUCAGGGAGUUUUUCCUCACCACCAUCACCACCGGCUCGCUCAAUAGGGAUAAAUUCACACUCUUAAAAUCUCUAUCCUGUGUUUAUAUGUUUCUGUGAAGCUGCUUUGAGACAAUGUCCAUUGUUAAACGCGCUCUAGAAAUAAAACUGAAUUGAAUUGAAAAAAUGUAAAUUUGGGGCUGAAAAGAAUGAAGGAUGCUGACUGAGCCGGCUGUGUACCAGAGAUUACUGGCUAGAGUAAUGAUUAGCGUUAG